ACAAUGGACGUGGCUCGUUUCAGGUGUGUGAAGAAGUCAGGUGCUAGUCAUGAGACUUAGCUGCAUCCUGGGCGCCAUCUUGGGACUGCCACCACAUCCGCUCCCCACAUCCUUUGUGACUGUAUGGCUCAGAAUGGCUCCCUACACAAGGAAGGACAAUUAAGUUUCUGAUACUACUCCUCAUGUACCGGGACAACUCACAGACUAAUGGUGCUUGAAAGUCUUAGGACAGCCCCAGAUCUCAGAGGACCUCAGAAACAGAAUUCACAGUUCACAAGAUGUUGCAGUGUUUAAACAGAAAGCAUUCUGCUAUGGCAAAGAGUGAUGAAAAACCAACAUAUAGUGUGUAAUCCUGGGAAAGUUGAACAUAACUACAGCUUCAGGAUACACUCAUCUCUAAGGACGAUGAUCAGCCUACUGAAGAAGUGGAGGUGAGCACCCUUGAGAACAAGUAUCCAACUAUAAUAGCCGGAGGAUGACUUUUUUCCUGAUAAAUAAUCGAAGCUAAAAAGCAAACGCUUCCUAAGGGUGGUGAGGAGGUAAAAAAGCGAUAUACAGGUAACCCAUAGAAAUUUGGCACAGUACACUUUAACACAGUAAUUCUAAUACUAGGAAUCAAUUAUAGAAGUUCAUCUUCAUUUAAGUGGAGUAUUGCAUCUUCAUUUAAGUGGAGUAUUGAAUGCAAAAUAAAUAAAUAUUUAUAACCUUAUAAUAAAAGAGAAAAUGAGAGCAUGCCAUUAUAAUAGAAUAUUCUAUAAUGCUAUAUUUUUCAUAUGUUUCUAUUAAAUUAUUUUAUUUAUUUACAUUCCAAAUUUGUCCCCUUCCAGGUACCCCCUCCCAGAUUUCCUCACUCCAUUUCCCCUUCGCUUUGCCUCAAAGAGUGUGUUUACCCACCCGCCCAUGCACCCACUCCCUUCACAUACACAACCACAGUGCAACUUAUAAUGCUACCUUAAUCAGUGGAUCUAUGAAUGGGAAUAAUGAUAUUAGGCUAUACUGACACCAUAUAUUUCUUAUCUUGAAUAGAUAUGUGCUGU